rnacentral:rRNA from 1 species
CAGUCGCCGCGGGAAUACGUAGGGCGCAAGCGUUGUCCGGAAUUAUUGGGCGUAAAGAGCUCGUAGGCGGUCUGUCGCGUCUGGUGUGAAAUCCCGAGGCUCAACCUCGGGCUUGCAUCGGGUACGGGCAGACUAGAGUGCGGUAGGGGAGACUGGAAUUCCUGGUGUAGCGGUGGAAUGCGCAGAUAUCAGGAGGAACACCGAUGGCGAAGGCAGGUCUCUGGGCCGCAACUGACGCUGAGGAGCGAAAGCAUGGGGAGCGAACAGGAUUAGAGACCCCUGUAGUCCCUGUCUCUUAUAC